ensembl:lincRNA
GGGAACAGAGGUGGGCUGGGGGAGUGGAACCCAAGUUUCCAGGGCUUGGGGGCAGAGUCCAACUCAGGUCAUAAACAGAGCUGAUAGGAGACAGUCUGUGGAAAGGGCAAGAGUUGGGACCCAGCAUACUGUGAGUCAGGACCAAGGAGGUGAGCUGGUGCUUAGACAAAGCUCCACCUGACCCCCAUGGCCUUCCUGGUGGCUGGGACCCUGCAGGCGGCCUCACAGUUGGCUGAUGCUCAAGACAGCCUGGGGAGAAAGGGGGAAUACAGCCUGCAGGGUUCAAGAGUGGCCCUGACACUCAGCAGCCAUGGGGUGUCCACUGCUACUGUUGCUGCCCUGGACUAUGUGUUCCGGUCCCUGGGCUUUGAAAACUGUGAGAAGAAGAAGACCUCUGUUCAGGUAAGCCUCAUUCCUCAUCCCCAACCCCAGCACCCAUCUCACUUGGGACCUUCAUGGAUUCAGGCCAGGCCGUGGCUCUUGCCCUAGUGCUUUCUUGAGGAGCUGAUGUGGUUUCGGGAGCAGCUGGAUGCCCACAAGGGACCUGUGGGCUGUGCCCUUGUAGCCUUAGUGGCCCCCAGUGGGCAGCUGAGGCACGUACAGCUGCUGGUCCGGGAGCUGAGUCACUGUGGGGCUCUGAGGGGCUGCCCCAAAGUCUUCCUCCUUCUCUCAAGUGGCUGUGGUGGACACUCUCUACAGUCAGAGGCUUUGUCCCCAAUCGCCCCUAGCCUGCCGCAUCUGCAGUUGAGGACCGGGGUCAAGGUUGCAGCACGGGCGACCAAAGGCGUUUGCCUGACCCCCGCGCACUACCGAGCAGAACCGCGCAGAACCGUGAACAGCGAUCUCUGCGGUUUACAGUUCAGGCGAUGAAAACUGACAGGCGAGGGAGGGUUCGGGUCCCUUGCGGGUGCGGAGGGGAGUUGCUCCUGGGGAAUCAAAGGAUAUGUGCAUUUGAAAACCUAGUAAAUUAUGUGAUAAUGGUUGCACAAUAAUCUGAAUCUAAUUAAGGCCACUGAAUUGUACACUUCUAAAUGACGAAAAUAACAAUUCUAUUGACGUACGCUCACUGUUCUAAAAUACGUGGGACCAAAGCCGAUAGAUCGUCUCGGUUUCUGGCAACGAGGGGACCUUAUGGUUAGUGUAAAUGCACACCCAACAUUUUAAAUACUGCCCGAGGUUGAGCUGACAUUUCGCUUGGAGAAUUUACCUGCUGAGCCCGCGUUCUCUCCAAGGACUCUGGCUAACGAACCCUCCGUGGCCAAUGGCGGGUGCCCCACCGCGAGGGCAACGCCGGCGACAAGGCCGCUUCAGCCCGAGUGCAGAGACGCCCGCAGGCGACCUGGGGUCGUGCGGAGUCACCUUCUCCGCGGGCGGCUGUGACGUCGCAGUGGUUAGUAAGAACUCCCGGUAGAGGAACUUCCCGAGGUUAAGAGACCCAAAGGGGAAGAGAAGAGCUACGCAAAGGCAGCGGGUGGGGCUGGAGCCCCCCGCCUCGGCUGCGACGCCCAGAUUCCACCGGCUGGGCCAGGGGGAAGCUAGAGGCUUCGGGCUGGCGAUCUGCUAAAACGACAAAAUGAGCAACAACAACAACAAAGGGGCCCCACCAGGUAACAUGCGGCCCCAGGGACAGUGGGAGAGGAGGACCGGGGCGGAGACCCCCGCGGCCCCCGCACAGGACGCUCUGCCUUUCCCGGUAGGUGCUGGUCUGUUGCGGGGCACUGGACAUUCAUGGUGCCCGCCCUCCCGCGAUGGGCCUCACAGACACCUUGUUUCCUGUACCAGCUGUCCCCGUGUUGCAGGGGUACCCCUGGAUUAAAGGGCUGAUCCUGGUUUGAACCUGGGAUCUCUGGCUCCCCCAGCGAGUUGCAUACCACCUAGGCCGAUGCAUAACCCUAAAUAAAACUCAGUGUCGCAUGUCUUUGAGCUCCUGCACAGCUGGGUCCCAAGGACGCCUGGGAGUGGGCGAGAUGAUGAACUGGAGCGCAGAUCGAGAAUCGAAGUCGGGGAAUAGGAAAAGGCCAGAAUGAGGUCACAGAGCCGAGCAAAAUUUUGCCGGAAUCACCAAAAAUGAGGAAAAGACUGGUUCGAGAACAGAAAGCCACUUAAUUUGUCAGCCCCGGUGGCCUAAUGGAUAAGGCAUUGGCCUCCUAAGCCAGGGAUUGUGGGUUCGAGUCCCACCCGGGGUACAAAAAAGUUGCCUUUU